rnacentral:rRNA from 1 species
UACGUAGGGUGCAGGCGUUAAUCGGAAUUACUGGGCGUAAAGCGUGCGCAGGCGGUUUGCUAAGACAGGUGUGAAAUCCCCGGGCUUAACCUGGGAACUGCGCUUGUAACUGGCAAGCUAGAGUGUGGCAGAGGGGGGUGGAAUUCCACGUGUAGCAGUGAAAUGCGUAGAGAUGUGGAGGAACACCGAUGGCGACGGCAGCCCCCUGGGCUAACACUGACGCUCAUGCACGAAAGCGUGGGGAGCAAACAGG